UGAAGUUCUAUUNAAACUAUUCCCUG
rnacentral:tRNA from 1 species